rnacentral:rRNA from 1 species
GAUAUAUGGAAGAACACCAGUGGCGAAGGCGGCUGUCUGGUCUGUAACUGACGCUGAGGCUCGAAAGUAUGGGUAGCAAACAGGAUUAGAUACCCUGGUAGUCCAUACCGUAAACGAUGAAUGCUAAGUGUUGGAGGGUUUCCGCCCUUCAGUGCUGCAGCUAACGCAUUAAGCAUUCCGCCUGGGGAGUACGGCCGCAAGGCUGAAACUCAAAGGAAUUGACGGGGGCCCGCACAAGCGGUGGAGCAUGUGGUUUAAUUCGAAGCUACGCGAAGAACCUUACCAGGUCUUGACAUACUAUGCAAAUCUAAGAGAUUAGACGUUCCCUUCGGGGACAUGGAUACAGGUGGUGCAUGGUUGUCGUCAGCUCGUGUCGUGAGAUGUUGGGUUAAGUCCCGCAACGAGCGCAACCCUUAUUAUCAGUUGCCAGCAUUAAGUUGGGCACUCUGGUGAGACUGCCGGUGACAAACCGGAGGAAGGUGGGGAUGACGUCAAAUCAUCAUGCCCCUUAUGACCUGGGCUACACACGUGCUACAAUGGAUGGUACAACGAGUUGCGAACUCGCGAGAGUAAGCUAAUCUCUUAAAGCCAUUCUCAGUUCGGAUUGUAGGCUGCAACUCGCCUACAUGAAGUCGGAAUCGCUAGUAAUCGCGGAUCAGCAUGCCGCGGUGAAUACGUUCCCGGGCCUUGUACACACCGCCCGUCACACCAUGAGAGUUUGUAACACCCAAAGUCGGUGGGGUAACCUUUUAGGAACCAGCCGCCUAAGGUGGGACAGAUGAUUAGGGUG